rnacentral:rRNA from 1 species
GACGAACGCUGGCGGCGUGCUUAACACAUGCAAGUCGAACGAAGAGCGACGGAAGCUUGCUUCUAUCAAUCUUAGUGGCGAACGGGUGAGUAACGCGUAAUCAACCUGCCCUUCAGAGGGGGACAACAGUUGGAAACGACUGCUAAUACCGCAUACGAUCUAACCUCGGCAUCGAGGAUAGAUGAAAGGUGGCCUCUACAUGUAAGCUAUCACUGAAGGAGGGGAUUGCGUCUGAUUAGCUAGUUGGAGGGGUAACGGCCCACCAAGGCGAUGAUCAGUAGCCGGUCUGAGAGGAUGAACGGCCACAUUGGGACUGAGACACGGCCCAGACUCCUACGGGUGGCAGCAGUGGGGAAUCUUCCGCAAUGGACGAAAGUCUGACGGAGCAACGCCGCGUGAGUGAUGACGGCCUUCGGGUUGUAAAGCUCUGUUAAUCGGGACGAAAGGCCUUCUUGCGAAUAGUGAGAAGGAUUGACGGUACCGGAAGAGAAAGCCACGGCUAACUACGUG